AUGGAACCUCGAGAAUUUCCUGUAGCAGUGACAGCGUCUGCAGACAGCAAAGCAAGUUCAAGAUUGGAAGACUUCUCCAAGCAUGUGACCUCAGCUGCAUCGUGUACACUCAACUAUCAGCCCUCCUCACCAGCCCCCACCCUCGGUGGUUCCGUGUUGGGGUUUGUCUUCCAUACCGACCUUCGCCACACUGUUGAUAUCUCAACUUUCCUUAUUUAUAAGGAGCAUGCUUACCGCACAGCAAACUGGGACCACAACAGUAAUUAAAGGUAAUUCCCAAAUUUCUUUUGGUCUGGAUGAUAAUGCUGCUGAGCUGUCUUGGGCAUGUUAACCACCAGCACAGAUCAAUCAGCACCUCAGCCUCCCGUUCUCCUCAGCCCUAGGGGUGACAGAUUGCAAAGCCCUUGGUCUGAACUAUCAGGUUUUCCUAAACCUAGAACAAUUAAUUCAUCCUGUUCAUGCAAAGCUGCGCUACCUGUGCCAUAUUUCUGGCCUUGCUACAUACUUUGAGUCCCACUGAUUUCACCCAUGAAAAAUAUUUCUGAUGUGCAUUGUGCUAAUGAACAAAUCCUCUGGUGUUGAUGGGAUAUGGAUAACUGAAGCCAUGUUUAGGUUACUGUGUUUAGUAAGCCCACCCCCUCGCACACACGAGCUUCAGAUGAGAGUCUCUAGAAACUCCCUAACUACUCCUAGAAUUAGGCACUCCUGACUAGGAUACUUCAAAUAUUAACUAACUGCCUGCUUAUCUGUUCACUAAACUUCACUAACGCACGUACAUCUUGGUGACAUGCAGGUUAAAACUCGGGUUUCUCAUCCCCAAAAUUCUGUUGAAUCAGAAACAUACAAUGGGGCUAAAAAACAGUGAGGUACCACGCACUCUGAUUAAUUCGGGUGGUUCAGAUACAGCUUAGAGUUCGAGGACUCCCACCCUAGAGAGGAGGCGGAGAGGGCCUGCCCUCGCCCAUGCAUGCACUCACUCUAGAAAAAUCGGGACAAGCGACGGGAAGAACCAGCCCUCAUUCUUCUCCACUUCUGAGGCUCAGCUGUGAAGUUGGGAGCAACUCUGGAGGAUUUACAAGCCACAGAUGACAGAAUCCACUCCAUAUCUGGAGUUCCCCAACCUUCUCUGGGAGCACGACCACAAAGGAAAUGGGUCCUUGUCUCUUUCCUAUUUAUCCCAGCACUGGGGUGGGUCACGUGUAAUUUUGUUAGGAACCUCCUUUUCUGGGGAAAAGAAAAAUUACUCUUUAACCAAGAAGAGGAGAAG
rnacentral:lncRNA from 1 species